UACGUAGGUGGCGAGCGUUGUUCGGAAUUACUGGGCGUAAAGGGCUCGUAGGUGGCCAACUAAGUCAGACGUGAAAUCCCUCAGCUUAACUGGGGAACUGCGUCUGAUACUGGAUGGCUUGAGUUUGGGAGAGGGAUGCGGAAUUCCAGGUGUAGCGGUGAAAUGCGUAGAUAUCUGGAGGAACACCGGUGGCGAAGGCGGCAUCCUGGACCAACACUGACACUGAGGAGCGAAAGCCAGGGGAGCAAACGGG
rnacentral:rRNA from 1 species